rnacentral:rRNA from 1 species
AACGCUAGCUACAGGCUUAACACAUGCAAGUCGAGGGGAAACGACAUCGAAAGCUUGCUUUUGAUGGGCGUCGACCGGCGCACGGGUGAGUAACGCGUAUCCAACCUGCCCACCACUUGGGGAUAACCUUGCGAAAGUAAGACUAAUACCCAAUGAUAUCCCACGAAGGCAUCCGAAUGGGAUUAAAGAUUUAUCGGUGAUGGAUGGGGAUGCGUCUGAUUAGCUUGUUGGCGGGGUAACGGCCCACCAAGGCAACGAUCAGUAGGGGUUCUGAGAGGAAGGUCCCCCACAUUGGAACUGAGACACGGUCCAAACUCCUACGGGAGGCAGCAGUGAGGAAUAUUGGUCAAUGGGCGAGAGCCUGAACCAGCCAAGUAGCGUGCAGGACGACGGCCCUAUGGGUUGUAAACUGCUUUUAUAAGGGAAUAAAGGGAGUCUCGUGAGGCUUUUUGCAUGUACCUUAUGAAUAAGGACCGGCUAAUUCCGUGCCAGCAGCCGCGGUAAUACGGAAGGUCCGGGCGUUAUCCGGAUUUAUUGGGUUUAAAGGGAGCGUAGGCCGGAGAUUAAGCGUGUUGUGAAAUGUAGUGGCUCAACCUCUGCACUGCAGCGCGAACUGGUCUUCUUGAGUACGCACAACGUGGGCGGAAUUCGUGGUGUAGCGGUGAAAUGCUUAGAUAUCACGAAGAACUCCGAUUG